AGUGAACGCUGGCGGUAGGCCUAACACAUGCAAGUCGAACGGCAGCACAGUAAGAGCUUGCUCUUACGGGUGGCGAGUGGCGGACGGGUGAGGAAUACAUCGGAAUCUACUUUUUCGUGGGGGAUAACGUAGGGAAACUUACGCUAAUACCGCAUACGACCUACGGGUGAAAGCAGGGGAUCUUCGGACCUUGCGCGAUUGAAUGAGCCGAUGUCGGAUUAGCUAGUUGGCGGGGUAAAGGCCCACCAAGGCGAAGAUCCGUAGCUGGUCUGAGAGGAUGAUCAGCCACACUGGAACUGAGACACGGUCCAGACUCCUACGGGAGGCAGCAGUGGGGAAUAUUGGACAAUGGGCGCAAGCCUGAUCCAGCCAUACCGCGUGGGUGAAGAAGGCCUUCGGGUUGUAAAGCCCUUUUGUUGGGAAAGAAAAGCAGCAGGUUAAUACCCCGCUGUUCUGACGGUACCCAAAGAAUAAGCACCGGCUAACUUCGU
rnacentral:rRNA from 1 species